rnacentral:tRNA from 7 species
ACACAUGUGGUGUAGUGGUAGCUACUGCUAGUAUUUGCUUGAGAGGUCGUGGGUUCGAAUCCCGUCGGCUGUA